AACGAACGCUGGCGGCAUGCCUAACACAUGCAAGUCGAACGAACCCUUCGGGGUUAGUGGUGCACGGGUGCGUAACGCGUGGGAAUCUGCCCUUUGCUUCGGAAUAACUCAGGGAAACUUGUGCUAAUACCGGAUGAUGUCUUCGGACCAAAGAUUUAUCGGCAAGGGAUGAGCCCGCGUAGGAUUAGGUAGUUGGUGGGGUAAAGGCCUACCAAGCCGACGAUCCUUAGCUGGUCUGAGAGGAUGAUCAGCCACACUGGGACUGAGACACGGCCCAGACUCCUACGGGAGGCAGCAGUGGGGAAUAUUGGACAAUGGGCGCAAGCCUGAUCCAGCAAUGCCGCGUGAGUGAUGAAGGCCCUCGGGUCGUAAAGCUCUUUUACCAGGGAUGAUAAUGACAGUACCUGGAGAAUAAGCUCCGGCUAACUCCGUG
rnacentral:rRNA from 1 species